rnacentral:lncRNA from 1 species
AUGGAUUAAAGUGGACAGAAUCGUAAUGUUCUAGAAGUUGUAUUUCUUAAAAAUAAAUGUAAUGUGGCUACUUGGAAGAAAGAAGAAUGGGAAACGUUGAUUUUUCUUGUAAUCAUUUAUAGGCUAUUGGUAGUUUUCUGGUGGAACUCAUGUCAGAGGCUCUAUUUUUAUUUUAUUUUAUUUUAUUUUAUUUUAUUUUAUUUUAUUUUUUUGAGAUGGAGUCUCGCUCUGUCACCAGGCUGGAGUGCAGUAGUGUGAUCUCGGCUCAUGUCAGAGGCUGUAUUUUUUCUGCAGGGAAGAACUAAUUUUU